rnacentral:lncRNA from 1 species
GCCAUCUUUAGUGCCCACUGAAUUAUACAUGAGUCUGGCUCAUAAAAAACUACAACCCACAUUAUAGUGCUUCCUCUUACAGUUCGAUCGUCGCUGCCUUCAUGUUAUGUAGGGUUUCUGAGAUUCCGACCUGCAGGUAUACCGAAUCAUUGUACGUGUUAGCAUUCAUAUUACCAACUUAUCAUCCGCCGAAUUUGUUGUGGAUAAGCAAUUUCUCCAACCAUUAUAGAGGAGAGGGGAAGCAAACGCAAGUAAAUGUGGCUGAACCAGAACCAUUUCUUCCGUUGCUUCAGAUUAAGUACUAGCUAGUGUCAUCAUUUAAGCAAUUUCAGUAAGAGUAUUUAUUUAUAGAGGAGAGGAGAACCAAGUGCGCUGCAUGCGCUUGGUCGAUCUGAGCACAGCUGGGGAUGAAUGUACCUUCCAAAUCCAAAUGGACCAAUCACUAUUUAGAAGAAGAGUUGGUGUCUUGUAGUUGUCCUGUGUAUACGUAAGGUUGUCAGAUAAGUAAUCAAGGUGGUAUAUGCUAUGCAAGGUUAAAGUAUAAGGUGUUGGUCAAAGCUUUUUACCUGAAACACUUGGUCUCUAUGGAUAUGCAGUAUUAGACAGUGGCAUCAGAAUCAUAGAUUAAAAUAGCCCGCGAAAUAGCCGCGAUAGCUGCGCUAUAGCUGCCCGGGAGCCUCGCCGCUAUGCCAUGGCUGUUGCCGGGAAAUCCUCCACAGAUCCCUCUUAAUGGCUGAACAAUGAGCAAAACCCUCCCGAAAUCAUCACUCCCAUCAGAAAAAUUUCCGCUAUUUGCCGCGGUUGCCCGCUAUGGCGGCCGCUAUAGCUGCUGGGAGAGGCUGCCGCGAAAUUGUUUCUCCCGCGAUUUUAAUCUAUGAUCAGAAUGCAGGCAUAUGCGCCUCUGCCUCGGUCAUGCUCUUCAAAGCCUGUCUGAAUUUCAACCUUUGCGAACCUGAAGUCAUUGGCAACAUGGCAUCGGCAAUCUGCUGAGAACCACAAUCAGAUGUGCUUGGCGUCUCCAGGUGGGGCAUAUGCUAACAGUUAGCAGCAAAUGUUCACAACUCCACCCCACAACCCACAUACGCAGAGUUAACUCUAAGCAGGUACAGGAAGUAGUAGAGAUGAAGCAAGCAACAAUAUUUACUUCCGGGAUAUAUAUUAUCAGCGGAUCCAUGAACACAAACUCUGCUCUGGGGCGUAAUUGCUGCCCCUGACGCACAUCCAGAUCUCUCCCCCUCCACCUCCUCUGCUCCUUCCUCGUCUCCGUCAGCGCGGGCAAGUCUCGCCCCCUCUCCUCCAAGCCCCAGCCGUGGAGAUUGAUGAGGCAUCUGCUAAAAUUUGGAGAUUCCAAC